CAGUCGCCGCGGUAAUACGAGGGGGGCAAGCGUUGUUCGGAUUUAUUGGGCGUAAAGGGUGCGUAGGCGGUUCGGCAAGUCUCGUGUGAAAUCUAUGGGCUCAACCCAUAGCCUGCACGAGAAACUACCGGGCUUGAGUAUUGGAGAGGUGAGUGGAAUUUCCGGUGUAGCGGUGAAAUGCGUAGAUAUCGGAAGGAACACCUGUGGCGAAAGCGGCUCACUGGACAAUAACUGACGCUGAUGCACGAAAGCUAGGGGAGCAAACAGGAUUAGAUACCCCGGUAGUCCCUGUCUCUUAUAC
rnacentral:rRNA from 1 species